rnacentral:tRNA from 2 species
GGAGAUGGAUGCGUCACUGGUGGGCGCCCCGGACUUCAAACCCGCGCGUGGGGCACUAACACUGUCCCAGAUAGGUUCGAUUCCUAUGCAUCUCCGCCA